rnacentral:lncRNA from 1 species
GGAAACAUUUGCAGGCUGAUUUUUAUCUGAUUGAAUUGCCAGAAAACAGACUGUAUAAAUAUGGAUCAGCUAGUCAAAAGCUACAUGUACACUUUUGACAGCAACAGCAGAACCAUGUUCUCUCUCAGUGUCCUCCUGCUUACCUUGGUGCUUCUGAACUUCUGAUUGCUGAUAUCUGCAGGUAUUUCAUUUAUCCAUGAACCAUAUCAAAAAUAAGCAGUUAAGCAAAGCUUACUUGACUAAGAAGUCCAGAUUUAAAUGUCACAGUUGUUGAUUGUGUGAGUGGGUUGUGGUGUAAAUAUGUCACUAUAUGUUUGUUAAAUUAUUAUUAUUAGCAUUAUU